UAUCCGGAAUUAUUGGGCGUAAAGGGCUCGUAGGCGGUUCGUCGCGUCCGGUGUGAAAGUCCAUCGCUUAACGGUGGAUCCGCGCCGGGUACGGGCGGGCUUGAGUGCGGUAGGGGAGACUGGAAUUCCCGGUGUAACGGUGGAAUGUGUAGAUAUCGGGAAGAACACCAAUGGCGAAGGCAGGUCUCUGGGCCGUCACUGACGCUGAGGAGCGAAAGCGUGGGGAGCGAACAGGAUUAGAUACCCUGGUAGUCCACGCCGUAAACGGUGGAUGCUGGAUGUGGGGACCAUUGCCACGGUCUCCGUGUCGGAGCCAAUGCGUUAAGCAUCCCGCCUGGGGACUACGGCCGC
rnacentral:rRNA from 1 species